AGCCGUGAGGUGGUCUCCAAGUUGGAGCCAGGAAUAAAGCUGUGAUGGUGGAAGAAGCCCUCAGCCUGAGCCUCUCAGGUCCGUCAGCGCCUUCUGAGUGGGAGGCUGGGACUAGGAGGAGUCAGCGGGUGUGCUGCGCGCUUCUCCCGGUUCCUCCUGCGCUCCCGGUCUUGAGGAGAGUUGGUUCAGGCAUCUGCAGUCUCCAUGAUGCCCACAACAGCCAGAGCCAGACCAGGGUGAGGCCUAGAUCCUGAAACUCCAUUCCUGUCUCUCUCAUGCACGGAAGAGACUCAGGCAGAGUUACAGAGAGGCAGAGGCAGAGAGAGAGAAGUCUUCCAUCCACUGGUUCACUCCCAAAAUGGCUGUGGUGGCCAGAGCUGGGCUGAUCUGAAGCCAGGAGCCAGGAGCUCCUUCCAGAAUAAGCCUAAUGACUGAAAGGAUAUACUGGAUUUGGAGACUCGACCAAGACAGCACUGUGAUCAUCUCGGAGUGUGAGGCAGCUACAUGUAGCCUGUGAGCAGUACAUGAUGAGAAAGAUGUAGAGGCACCCUGUGAUGAGCUCCUUGUAUGCAUGUCAGUGUCUGCUACUUUAGAUCCACUCAUGUGUGAGCUCUGCUGAGAGGGAAAUACUCUGUAGUCAACUGGAACUCAUUCAGCCAAAACCUUGA